UACGUAGGGUGCAGGCGUUAAUCGGAUUUACUGGGCGUAAAGGGCGCGUAGGCGGCAACUCAAGUCAUCUGUGAAAUCUCCGGGCUUAACUCGGAACGGUCAGAUGAUACUGUUUUGCUAGAGUGCAGAAGGGGCAAUCGGAAUUCUUGGUGUAGCGGUGAAAUGCGUAGAUAUCAAGAGGAACACCUGAGGUGAAGACGGGUUGCUGGGCUGACACUGACGCUGAGGCGCGAAAGCCAGGGGAGCAAACGGG
rnacentral:rRNA from 1 species